UCUGCCUCACAUGUCAUCCAGCACCAGGUUGAAUUUGGGGUCCCUCAUGUGUGCAAUUCGUGACAGCACUGCAGAGCUCUACUCAUGCUCCUUGCACCACACUGGCAUUGCAGGCAGCAAGUAGCAGGUUGUUUGCCACGGGUGACUGAUUUUAGCCAUAUAUUUAUCUGCUUCAGCCUUGCGUGUUGAUUCCCAGCUACAUCCUGCUCUUAACAUCCCUUUUCGGAGGCACCAAAAAGAAGAAUCAUUGAAUGAUUUGAGUUGGAAGGGACUCAUAAAGACCAUCUAGUCCAGUUCCCCUGCCAUGAACAGCUCGAUCAGGUGCCCAGAGCCCCAUCCAGCCUGACCUGGAGUGUCUCCUUAUUCCUGACCUUCCACUGGUGCUCAAAUUUGGACUUCUGCAACAUCCUUUCAGAGAGAGCCAACUUCCGUUCUGAUUUAAGAAAUCAUCCAAUUAGACUAACAGCUGCAGAGAUUGGAAUAAGCCUUGCAUGUGAGAAAAUUAAAGAAAAUGCAGCUGAGUACUAUGCAAAGCAGUGAAGGUCUGAUGGCUGUGAAAAGGGUUAACACUUCAACAUACUGAAGCAAAUUGAGCAUAUGGGAAGAACUGCAGCUGUAAAGCAUCAGCUAGCAAGAAAGCCUGGCCCAUCAGAGAGUCUGGGAUGUGACAAGUCAAAGCGUGAUGGAAACACUGCACUUCCACUGAAGAUCUCACAGCUGCAGUGCAGGGUUUGAGAGAGCUAUCCCCCAUGUAAUAUACUCAGUCUACAGCAGAAUUCAGGACAAGGUGGCUGUGUGAAUCCAGUUAUUUACUUACUCCUGAAAGCCCAGAAGAAAUGAAGAUCACACUGUGUUAGGCACCAGCCUGAGUGGAAAGUACAGAAUCCUCUGUGGAAGUGAAUGAAUAUCAUAUGAAGGAAGCGAGUGAGACAGUCACAGGAACGAAGGACAGCUGAGGUAGGACAGCACCUCUGGAA
rnacentral:lncRNA from 1 species